rnacentral:rRNA from 1 species
AUGAACGCUAGCUACAGGCUUAACACAUGCAAGUCGAGGGGCAGCAUGGUCUUAGCUUGCUAAGGCCGAUGGCGACCGGCGCACGGGUGAGUAACACGUAUCCAACCUGCCGUCUACUCUUGGACAGCCUUCUGAAAGGAAGAUUAAUACAAGAUGGCAUCAUGAGUCCGCAUGUUCACAUGAUUAAAGGUAUUCCGGUAGACGAUGGGGAUGCGUUCCAUUAGAUAGUAGGCGGGGUAACGGCCCACCUAGUCUUCGAUGGAUAGGGGUUCUGAGAGGAAGGUCCCCCACAUUGGAACUGAGACACGGUCCAAACUCCUACGGGAGGCAGCAGUGAGGAAUAUUGGUCAAUGGGCGAGAGCCUGAACCAGCCAAGUAGCGUGAAGGAUGACUGCCCUAUGGGUUGUAAACUUCUUUUAUAAAGGAAUAAAGUCGGGUAUGGAUACCCGUUUGCAUGUACUUUAUGAAUAAGGAUCGGCUAACUCCGUGCCAGCAGCCGCGGUAAUACGGAGGAUCCGAGCGUUAUCCGGAUUUAUUGGGUUUAAAGGGAGCGUAGAUGGAUGUUUAAGUCAGUUGUGAAAGUUUGCGGCUCAACCGUAAAAUUGCAGUUGAUACUGGAUAUCUUGAGUGCAGUUGAGGCAGGCGGAAUUCGUGGUGUAGCGGUGAAAUGCUUAGAUAUCACGAAGAACUCCGAUUGCGAAGGCAGCCUGCUAAGCUGCAACUGACAUUGAGGCUCGAAAGUGUGGGUAUCAAACAGGAUUAGAUACCCUGGUAGUCCACACGGUAAACGAUGAAUACUCGCUGUUUGCGAUAUACUGCAAGCGGCCAAGCGAAAGCGUUAAGUAUUCCACCUGGGGAGUACGCCGGCAACGGUGAAACUCAAAGGAAUUGACGGGGGCCCGCACAAGCGGAGGAACAUGUGGUUUAAUUCGAUGAUACGCGAGGAACCUUACCCGGGCUUAAAUUGCAGAUGAAUUACGGUGAAAGCCGUAAGCCGCAAGGCAUCUGUGAAGGUGCUGCAUGGUUGUCGUCAGCUCGUGCCGUGAGGUGUCGACUUAAGUGCCAUAACGAGCGCAACCCUUGUUGUCAGUUACUAACAGGUUCUGCUGAGGACUCUGACAAGACUGCCAUCGUAAGAUGUGAGGAAGGUGGGGAUGACGUCAAAUCAGCACGGCCCUUACGUCCGGGGCUACACACGUGUUACAAUGGGGGGUACAGAGGGCCGCUACCACGCGAGUGGAUGCCAAUCCCAAAAACCUCUCUCAGUUCGGACUGGAGUCUGCAACCCGACUCCACGAAGCUGGAUUCGCUAGUAAUCGCGCAUCAGCCACGGCGCGGUGAAUACGUUCCCGGGCCUUGUACACACCGCCCGUCAAGCCAUGGGAGCCGGGGGUACCUGAAGUGCGUAACCGCGAGGAGCGCCCUAGGGUAAAACUGGUGACUGGGGCU